GUUUAAUAGCGCCUUCCCUAACCUAGAUCCUGCUCCUACAGUGUGAGCUGCCCAAAGGUAGCAGUUACGCAUCGUGUACCUCUGAGGCAUCGCUUGUGAAUCUGACAAAUAGGCUGAAGUAUCGUGGGUCAAUAUGAUUUCCUUCCUCAUUUUGAUUUAGGAACGUUCUUUGUUUACCACAGUAGGUCAAGUUUCGACUGGGCAAAUCGUGCAGUCGCUAGAGCAACCAGGACCACGUGCAUGAUUAGAUAGGAUCCUCCCAAACUGGACUGCCUCUCCAGCUCUGUUUCAGGUUUCCCCAGAUCCUAGCUAUGAAUGGACACUACAGAUGUGUCACAGAAGCACUCUGUGAGGUGGCUCUGUUAGUUCUAAAGAUUGAUGACCUCAUGUAUAUUUUGACAUCCUUCACAGCAAGACUGACUGGGCACCAGUUGUGGCUACAAGUUUCCUGGAAUGCAGUCCUCAGAGGACAGAUGGAGUACACCCUCAACAGGAGGCAGAAAUACCCCUUCUGCCACAGGGAGCAAAGCAGCCUUUGAGGGAACUGAACAUAGUGCGGACUGAAAAGACCAUCAUUCUCCAAAAAACAGUUGCUGGAGAAGCAAGGGGACACUGCAUUCAUAUAUAUUUGUAACAUAGCCUAAGAUUUUAAAAAUAAGUUUUUAAAAUUAUUCAAAUGCGGAAAAAAAACCUUUUAUUUUAUCAUAUUUUAGACUUAGGGUUCUGUAGUCCAGCCUGGCUCCCAACUCACUGUAUAUCCGAGUGCUGUCUCAAGUUCACACUCUCCCACUAUUGGGGUUUCAGGUACAUCAGAUAGCUUCAUCAAAUAUGAGUCUUUGUUUAAAUUCUAUAUUUUACAUUAACAUAUUAGAUGCUUCGUAUGAUAUUAUAGGCCAGAUGUUGAAGAAAAUGGAGAAAUUACCUGAGGUUUUUGUUGUUUGUUUGACAAGCUCUAACUCCUAUAAUAAUAGAAUAAUAGCCUAGUAUCCGAAGGACAUUAGGGAUUGCUGUGGACCUGCCCAGGCAACCUGUAGAGCCUCCUCUGCGGGCGCAGGACCUGACUCCCAUUCUGUGUAGACGUUGGGUCUUCUCUCCGAGAGUUAGGGAUUGCUAUUUGUCUAGCAAUAGCCUUCCCAGCCAUUGUGAGCUGGGAGUCUCUCAGUCUCUCCACUCUGUGAACCGCUUUGACAAGGGCGCCGCCGCCUCACCGCUGCCCUACCUGUUUCCUGUGCCCACGGGACUUCGUUCCUUCUCACACACUAAUGCACGAGGUCUGCCGUUUCUGAUGGAUGAUGGACUUUCUGCAACCCCACAGCUCACAACAAAGACGGCACCCCUGUUUCUCCUUUCUCUGCGGGCUGCUUGAGGAACAUAAAUCUGUUUCUCAUUAUUUGGUCUGUUUUACAACGUGAAUUCCUACUGAGGUUCAUUGCGUUGGGUAUUACGAGGCAUUUCAUCUCAUCUAAAACUUGCCCUUCCCUAAUGUUUAAUAGCAGCAGUCUGUCUGAAGACCGGAAAUCCUGGUGCUUGGUUAACUUGAACCACAAAUUAACGUUGAAGAGGUUUUUGGGUUCUUUUUUUUUUUUUUUCUUUCUUUCUGUUUUCAAGAAACUGGUACUUUUAUACAACCCUUGGAUAUAUAUGCACUUCAGAGAGAGCCUGAAGUGGGUGGUGCAUGGUGAGAGGGACCCAAAGAAAAUGGAUUCCCAGCUUCAAAGACCUUAUAACAAAAUGAAAGAAGAUAGGUGUUAGCAUUCUGUCUAAGCUCCACCCUCACAGUUACCUGGCAACAGCUAGGUAUGUUCCGCUCCACAGUCACCUGGCAACAGCCAGGUAUUCAUGACACUAUAAAGGGGCUGCUUGCCCCCUCCUCACUUUCUUGCUCUUCUCCUCUUCCCCUUUUGACCCUUCUCUUCCCAUUCCCUUCCCCCCCCUUCCACGUGCUCAUGACCGGCCUCUACUCCUCUCCUCUCCUUUCCUUCCCUCCCGUCCCCUCCUCUGGCCCCUCUCCCCACCACCCCCACCCCAGUCUCUGUCUCUGUCUCUCUGUCUCUCGUUCCACUCCCUUGUCUCGUCCUGACAUUAAACCCCUCCAUGUGGAGCCAUGUUGGCCUGGUGUGAUUUGUCCGGACACCAGCGGUGAUUUCUACCCCAACAAUAGGUGUUGGAGCCAGGAGAUCUGGUUUAAAUCUCAUUUUUCUUACCUGGUGGAACGGUUAGUAAUUUGAGGAAGGCGAUUUACCUUCUGACAGCAACCUUCACCCACAAGGAGGUUAAUAUAACUUACUUGAGAUGCUAACUCAAAGUGCCUGGCACAAUAUAGAUAUUUAAUAAAUAUAUAUUGUUAUUUUAUUAAUAUUAUUGUAAGAAACGGAACCUCAGAUAUUGCCUGUGUUGGCUCCAAAGCCCUAGGCUCAACUGACCCUCUUGUCUCAGCCUUUCAAGUAGCUGGGACUUCAGAUGCAUGCCACACCUCUACUCCCCACCCCAACAUCCAACCCCAUCCGCACCUCUAUCCCCGGCUCAGAACUAUUCAUUAAACCCUGUACAGGGAUAAGAUCAGCAUUGCCAUGACAGGAUUUGUGGCCUCCGGGUGCCUCAGUUCAUGGAGCUGACAUUUAGAACAGAACCUUAACUGCUUUGGAAUCCUUUAUAGGGGAAAGGGUAGGAAGUGUGACUCCUCCCCCGCCUCUGUUGACGGUCAAUUGGCUUUAUGGGAAUCAUAGAAGAGACCUCCGAAGAGAGCCUGCCAACCAGUUCCCAGACAUUGGGUCAUCUAUCACAUAGAAAUCAUAGUGAUUCCCCUCUUUCCUCAGAGCGGACUGCGGUGGUGAGGAGCAGAGAAGAAACUGUCUACGGAAGUCCCCGGUGAACUCAGAGCACUGUCUAAAUGAACCACUGCUGAGAUGGGGGACAGCAGGACAGUUUACCGUGUCAUUCGCUAGGUUCAGACACAAGCUUUCCCCGCUGAGGCAUUCAGCAGAGAGCAGACACACUCUGUUGGGCUUCAGUAUUGAAUGAAAACCACACUGAUCCUUUCCCUUGUUUUACUUCCUCUCUGCUACCUCCCAAACAAAGGGCAGGCCCUCUAAGUGCUUCCUGCUGAGUUUAGACUGAAGGUCUUGGGUUUCAAGUCCAGCUCAGUCCCAGGGAAGGCUGUUAAAGAGUGAGACAAUAGAGCAGGGAGUCUGAGGACACGCAUCUUUGGUCCUCCUGGCUUUCAAACGCAAGCUACCCCCCUUGUUCUCCCUCUCAGGGCCCUCGUAAGAGCAACACACUAGAGACCUUGGAUGGUGCUUUGAGGUUGGGGAGAAUGAAUGGAGAGGCGGUGGCCUGAGGAUGCUCCGGUAUGCUUGGUCCAGCAACUUCACCUUGAUGAGAUAGUUGAGCCUUGCUUUGAAAAGAGUCCUAGGUAACCCAAAGCUCAGGUUAAUCUCUGAAGUAUCCUCUAUGGUGAUUUGAAUGGGCUUGGCCCAGAGAGUGGCACUAUUUGGAGGUGUGGCCUCCUUGGAGUGGGCGUGGCCUUGUUGGAGUGGGCGUGGCCUUGUUGGAGUGGACGUGUUGCUGUUGGCAAGGACUUAAGACCCUCACCCUAGCUGCCUGGAAGUCAGUCUUUCCUAGCCGCCUUCAGAUGAAGAUGUAGAACUCUCAGCUCCUGCACCAUGCCUGCCUGGAUGCUGCCAUUCAUUCUACCGCCAUGAUGAUAAUGGACUGAACCUCUGGAUCUGUAAUCCAACCCUAAUUAAUAACAAUAAGGUCAAGCCCCACCUGCCAGAUUCCACCUCAGUGGAUGGAGAUUCGGUGCUUCACUAUCUAGAUGAGCCUGCCUUCCUUACCCAGCAAAGCGGCUCCAGUGAUCCACACACACCUCGUCUUUGCUUUGGCUGCAACACCUCUCUCCCUUCCUUGGGAAGGUCCCUGUUAUCACCCCUUCAUCCUUCCAUACCCUCCUCAUGAAGCCUUUCAUGGCGAUUCAGUCCCAUUGCUCAUUUUCCCCCUCUCAGGCUUCUCCUGGAGUGUGUGUUUUAUACUACUCUGUCCUCUAAUGAUUUUCUGUUCCUUCCUCAUUAAUAAUUGAGUCCCUUUGUAUUAACCAUUACAUUAAGCACUGUGGCCAAUAGACUAUGAAAACAUGGCCUCUUCGCAGAAAGGAUUUACCAUCAACAAAAAUGUGAAGAAGAAACAUUAUGUAAUACGUUGCAAAGAUUUUAUUCUGAAAAUGAUGAAAGCCAUUGUAGAAGUUUUGAAAUUUUUAACUGCUUUAUUGAGGGACAAUUGACACACAAUAAACUGACACUUGAAAUGUGCAAGAUGAUAUGUUUAGGCGUCUUUACACACCCAAUAAAAUCACCACUACUA